GACGAACGCUGGCGGCGUGCCUAAUACAUGCAAGUAGAACGCUGAAGAGAGGAGCUUGCUCUUCUUGGAUGAGUUGCGAACGGGUGAGUAACGCGUAGGUAACCUGCCUUGUAGCGGGGGAUAACUAUUGGAAACGAUAGCUAAUACCGCAUAACAAUGGAUGACACAUGUCAUUUAUUUGAAAGGGGCAAUUGCUCCACUACAAGAUGGACCUGCGUUGUAUUAGCUAGUAGGUGAGGUAAUGGCUCACCUAGGCGACGAUACAUAGCCGACCUGAGAGGGUGAUCGGCCACACUGGGACUGAGACACGGCCCAGACUCCUACGGGAGGCAGCAGUAGGGAAUCUUCGGCAAUGGGGGCAACCCUGACCGAGCAACGCCGCGUGAGAGAAGAAGGUUUUCGGAUCGUAAAGCUCUGUUGUAAGUCAAGAACGGGUGUGAGAGUGGAAAGUUCACACUGUGACGGUAGCUUACCAGAAAGGGACGGCUAACUACGUG
rnacentral:rRNA from 1 species